GAUGAACGCUGGCGGCGUGCCUAAUACAUGCAAGUCGAGCGAAUGGAUUAAGAGCUUGCUCUUAUGAAGUUAGCGGCGGACGGGUGAGUAACACGUGGGUAACCUGCCCAUAAGACUGGGAUAACUCCGGGAAACCGGGGCUAAUACCGGAUAACAUUUUGAACCGCAUGGUUCGAAAUUGAAAGGCGGCUUCGGCUGUCACUUAUGGAUGUACCCGCGUCGCAUUAGCUAGUUGGUGAGGUAACGGCUCACCAAGGCAACGAUGCGUAGCCGGCCGGAGAGGGUGAUCGGCCACACUGGGACUGAGACACGGCCCAGACUCCUACGGGAGGCAGCAGUAGGGAAUCUUCCGCAAUGGACGAAAGUCUGACGGAGCAACGCCGCGUGAGUGAUGAAGGCUUUCGGGUCGUAAAACUCUGUUGUUAGGGAAGAACAAGUGCUAGUUGAAUAAGCUGGCACCUUGACGGUACCUAACCAGAAAGCCACGGCUAACUACGUGCCAGCAGCCGCCGUAA
rnacentral:rRNA from 1 species